rnacentral:rRNA from 1 species
AUUGAACGCUGGCGGCAGGCCUAACACAUGCAAGUCGAGCGGAUGAAGGGAGCUCGCUCCUGGAUUCAGCGGCGGACGGGUGAGUAAUGCCUAGGAAUCUGCCUGGUAGUGGGGGAUAACGUCCGGAAACGGGCGCUAAUACCGCAUACGUCCUGAGGGAGAAAGUGGGGGAUCUUCGGACCUCACGCUAUCAGAUGAGCCUAGGUCGCAUUAGCUAGUUGGUGGGGUAAAGGCCUACCAAGGCGACGAUCCGUAACUGGUCUGAGAGGAUGAUCAGUCACACUGGAACUGAGACACGGUCCAGACUCCUACGGGAGGCAGCAGUGGGGAAUAUUCGACAAUGGGCGAAAGCCUGAUCCAGCCAUGCCGCGUGUGUGAAGAAGGUCUUCGGAUUGUAAAGCACUUUAAGUUGGGAGGAAGAGCAGUAAGUGAAUACCUUGCUGUUUUGACGUUACCAACAGAAUAAGCACCGGCUAACUUCGUG